GCAUUGUCCCUCUCUUCUCUCUCUUUCCCUUCAUCCACAAAAAUGGCAAACCCUAGCCUCCCCUUUAGCCAUGGACAAAGAUUGUCCCUUCCCCUUCCCGUGUAAAACUCGUCUAUUUGUGAACUCUAACAGACCCGUCAUUUUCCGUUCAACACAUAUAGUAAAUCGCAGAGCUUCUUUCGAUUCUACAGUCCAUGCAUGGCCAUUUGGGGAAAAGAAUUAAUGUUCAUCAGUGUUAAGCCGUAGGUAAGAGUCGUCGUCUUCCUCCGUUGUCUCUUUUGGAUCUGAAAAUGAUUUAAUGAGUUUUGUCCAUUUGUGAAUUAAAAAAUCAUCUCAUUCGUCUGUUUCGUUGAUUUUCGAGUACAGACUUUAAAUAAAAUUUGUCUCCUUCUUCUGGCUUUCUGAUCAGCAACAUAAAGUACUCUCACGUUUUUUGGUAUUUUGAACGGAGAGUUGACCUUGAAAAGAUCCCACCCAAUUUUUCAGUUUUCAAACCAUAGAGAAACCCUAGAUUUUCCCCUAUAAAUAAUCGUUGCUGGGUUCAUUUUUAAGUGAAAAAGAGAGAAAAAGUGGUUUUACCCGCCAUAAGAUCCCUAAAAAAUAACAAGUUUUGAAACCCCGAAAAUCUCUAGAAAAUAUAAGUCUUUUAGUCGCCUAGAAUUCCCUAAAAUAUUAGUUUCUGUUAGCAGUUGCAAUAUUGUUCAGUGGCAAGUCACAAAAUAUUAAAUCCUGUUCUGUUUUUUUUGCUUUGGGUGUUUAUUUGAAUUCGGGCAUACGCAAGUCCGAAUUUCGAAGUGUUUCGAGGUAAAUCGGAAGCUCGAGCCCCAUUUCGCUGCACCCGAAGAAGCGGACGUUGUCAAAUAUAGUAACCCAACAAGGUUGGGGUCGAAUCCCACAGGGAAUAUGGAGAGAAAAGAGUACUAAUCGUAUGCAAUACUAGUCUUUAAAAGCUUUAAUCCUAUUUCUGAUAGUUUGAAAUAGUUGUUGAAUAAUGUAAUUAAGUAUUUUGACUGAAAUUGUAUUUAAUGCGAAAUAGAGACUAAGGUUGUGUUCCCCAAUUUGAUUAGAUAUUAUGCUUCAGGUUUCAAUGUGAUAUACUUCUAAUGGUUGUUCUAUGAAUAUGCACUUGGUCUGUUAAGAACU